rnacentral:rRNA from 1 species
GUGUCAGCAGCCGCGGUAAUACAGAGGGUGCAAGCGUUAAUCGGAAUUACUGGGCGUAAAGCGAGCGUAGGUGGCUUGAUAAGUCAGAUGUGAAAUCCCCGGGCUUAACCUGGGAACUGCAUCUGAUACUGUUAAGCUGGAGUAGGUGAGAGGGAAGUAGAAUUCCAGGUGUAGCGGUGAAAUGCGUAGAGAUCUGGAGGAAUACCGAUGGCGAAGGCAGCUUCCUGGCAUCAUACUGACACUGAGGCUCGAAAGCGUGGGUAGCAAACAGGAUUAGAAACCCUUGUAGUCC